rnacentral:rRNA from 1 species
GAUGAACGCUAGCGGCAGGCUUAACACAUGCAAGUCGAGGGGUAUUGGUUUUCGGACCAAGAGACCGGCGCACGGGUGCGUAACGCGUAUGCAAUCUACCUUUUGCAGAGGGAUAGCCCAGAGAAAUUUGGAUUAAUACCUCAUAGUAUAGUACUUUGGCAUCAAGGAACUAUUAAAGUCACAACGGCAAAAGAUGAGCAUGCGUCCCAUUAGCUAGUUGGUAAGGUAACGGCUUACCAAGGCUACGAUGGGUAGGGGUCCUGAGAGGGAGAUCCCCCCACACUGGUACUGAGACACGGACCAGACUCCUACGGGAGGCAGCAGUGAGGAAUAUUGGACAAUGGGGCGCAAGCCUGAUCCAGCCAUGCCGCGUGCAGGAUGACGGUCCUAUGGAUUGUAAACUGCUUUUAUACAGGAAGAAACACUCCGACGUGUCGGAGCUUGACGGUACUGUAAGAAUAAGGAUCGGCUAACUCCGUGCCAGCAGCCGCGGUAA